rnacentral:rRNA from 1 species
CUUGUUCUUCUCUAACAACAGAGUUUUACGAUCCGAAAACCUUCUUCACUCACGCGGCGUUGCUCGGUCAGACUUUCGUCCAUUGCCGAAGAUUCCCUACUGCUGCCUCCCGUAG